UACUGGAGACGGCGGCGGUGUCAGAAGACUAGGUAUCUGUGACAAUAAAGAAAGCUGUACCUUUAAUAAUAAUAUAAAUAAUUGGUACUCGAACACUCGAGUGGUGAGACGACAAAGCCUUCCGACGAAAUCAAUUACUUUUACAAUUGAAUUGUACUGUGUGACGAAUUGCGCAAUACGCGACAGAUAAGAUUAUGAGAUAAUUGGUUUGCUGUUGUCAAACGUUCAGAUUCCACACAAACACAAAGUAUAUCUGACACUUAUUUUAAAAGGCAUUUAAAAUAAUUGCUGGAGCAUUACUCGGAAAUGAUUUGAUAAACUUAUUAUAGUCAGUUGCGGUUAUAAUCUUUUCUGCACAAAAAGUGUGAGUGACCUAAUUAAGUUUAUGUCAAAUUGAAAUAUUUGGUAUUUUCUUUGUUAUACUGCAGUUCAAUGUCCUUAUUAAAAUGUAAUUUUCCAAUAACAGUACACUACGAGUGAUGAAAGUACAUCCUGAAAAGCAAUGCGGACGCACAGAUUCGAACAUCAAUACAGAGACGAACUUUAAGCAUAUAAUAUUUUUACUAUAGUAUUAUGGAGAAAUUCACCAAGAUAAAAGUACUAAAAACCUCCUGCUUCCUCAAAAAUAAUUUAAUGGGACAUUUAUUACUCUAAGACAAAAAAAGGAAUGAAUUGUAUUAUAGAGGUGCUUCUACUUUUGCCUUUGUAUUUUCUGCGGCUUUGAUGAUUAUGUUGGUUGUAUUACAAUUAACGGUUUUCAAUCGCUAUUUGGAACACAUAACAUUGUUUAAAUAAAACAAUAGCAGACGACACGAAAAAAUAGGAAAGCUUGUCACAUUACUCUUUUCCUAAGUGAUUUGUGAGGAAGUCGUGCACAUUGCCAAAUGGCUACAAAGAUGUAAUAUACACGAUUUUGUUGGUGAAAAUAAAUGUUCCUUUUUUUGAGAUACAUUCUUUAAUAUAUAAAAAAAGAACAUGCUCAAGAUAUAAUGUUGACUACAAUUAUCUUUUAAUGUCAUCUAUU